CAAUAGUUAGAAGAAGUGCUGAGAAAAAGGCUUGUGCAGAACUUCUCAUGACGUACUGAGAAACAAGGUAUGCAUACAACAUGCAACACUGCUGUCAAAUACAGGCAAGAACACUUGAAUUCAACCUUCAAAUUGGGAAAUCAUUGGCCUUCUCCAACUCCACUGACAGCGCAGUAGUGAUAAAGCUCACCUGGACAGCUACAUGGUAUGAAAGUACCAUGAAGAAGGAGACAAUCCUACGCCCCAGAGAGCCAGGCAGAAUACACACACUGUGCAGAAUGAGUUCACAGCACUGAGGUCCAUCUACAAGAGCCUCUCACUCUCCUGGGGAAGCUUCGUGUGCCGCACAGAAGAUGGAAAAGCAGAAAUGUUUUGGUUUUUUUUCCCCUCCAGCCAGAGACCCUAUGUCACAGCCUCACUGACAGCAACACAGUUCUUCAAGGUCUCAGCUGUUUUAGGGGAAUCACGGGGCAGUUCAGGUGGAAAG